CGGCCUCCCACGCAGGGGACGCCGGAGUGCCCUCCGCUUGCGGGGACGGCGCUGGACGCAGACACAGGCGGGACUCGGUCUAACCCAACAACGUCUCCAAACGGGGUGUCAGGGUUGAAUAUGGCCUGCAACACUGCCUGAUCAUUUGGAGUCCCCAUGGUGCUCAACUCCAAAAUCCGAAAAGGUGACUCAGGAUCAGAGGGAGGAAGGAGGGGUGGGGGCUGGGCCUCACAGCCAGCAGAUCUAGAGGCGGUUCUGUUUGAGGACCAUCCCCCCUGAGGAGGAGUGUCUUCCAUUCUUUGGCUGUAGUGUAAACUCAACCCCCUUUGGCCUGGGGUUAGGGACCCUGGCUUGGCAGAACCUUUAUAAAUAUUUCUCAACUGCCUCCCCACGCCCACCUCAGUCCUAGGAGAAACAGAGUAAAUAAAUCCAAUUUCAGCCUUAAGGUGGAGUGGAGCAAGAGAGGGUCCAGGUUCUCCCUGAAAUGCUUUCAUUUUAUUAUAUUCAUAGAUUGGGAGAAAAUCCUUCAAAGCCACUGCUUGACCGCCCAUGGAUAAAGGAGGAGGGAUACACAGGAGGUAAAAGAACUAUUCCUUUAUCCUCUUGACUUCUUCCUCAUAUCCAGAAUUACUUUUGUCCUGAACAUACACCACUGAUGAGUAAGGCAUCAAGCCUAUCGCUGAUAAGAGAGCCAGUGUGGCGUGGGGCCUGAAGGCAGGUAGUGAGGAAUGAUUUACUGAUUCCACCUUAAAAGAAGGGACUGUGGAAGGUACUUUGUAAUCAGGUCACAGGCCACUCCAGUCCCCCAUUUCUCCACCCCAGCCAAAGCCAAAAGAGAGCUCAACCAUGUGCAGCAAUAAACUUGACAUGUUUAUUAAUUAAACUAUCACUUAAAUAAAAAAAAGUGCAUAGAAAAUAAACAUGUUUAAAAACUCCUUUUUUUUUUUUUACAACUAUGUACACUUUUUACUUUUACAUUCAGUCUUUCGUAGAGAGCUUUCAGCAUUAUUAUUUUUUGAACUAUUAAAGUAUUUUCCUUCAUCCCUGUCACAGGGAGUUAACACUGAUGGACUUUAGACACAUUUUUUCCUUUUUUUUUUUUUUUUCUCUUUUUCUCUAACCAGAAGCUUGGAAGAACACAAGGAAAAAAAACCCAAAAGAUCUGUUAUACAUGAUAAAGUUGUCAAGAAAUGUCUUAUUUCUAGAAAAGAAGCUUGUCAUCUGUUGAGCUUUUGAAACAAUUAUUCAACUACCUGUAUUUACUAAAGAGAUUGUUAAAAGUUCAAUAAAAGAAACACCACAAGUCUAUUUUCUUGGUUGAAAGACAGAACUAGAGUACCUCGGAACAAGAUACCAGGAAAGCACAGAACACAAUAUUCCCCUAAAUGCAGGUGGUAACCCCAACAUUCAUAACCAAAAAUAGAGAAACAAGGAGUACAGGUACUGACUGGCAACAUUCAUGGGCAGAAAAAAUCCAGGUGACACCGUUUCUGCAUCUCCCUCUGAUCCUAAGGAGGGACUGUCUUACCAUCCCUUUAUGGUUUGGGUUCCCCCCAUUUCAGGGGAUCAGAGGAGUGCCAGACUGACAUUUUCCUGCCACUACUAGCAACUGUAACACAAUCCUUAUCUAUAGUGUUAAGAGAAUUAAAAGCCAUGGACUGAACUAGGCUUUGUUACAUGGUGCAUUACUAUAUUAGUUCCUAUAUAUAUCAUAUUUAUACUUAUUUGAAAACCAAAACAAAAAAGUUGCAAGUUUUCAGAGUGUGAGACUUGACUGGUAUUCAUGAUUCGGCACAAAACCAUCUGCUCAAUAACCUUGUAUUGCUUGAAAAUGAAGGAAAUGAAACACAAAAUUACACCCAGCCCUUUGCAAUGACCCGCUUUUCCUUU